CCUACGGGUGGCUGCAGUCGAGAAUCUUCGGCAAUGCACGAAAGUGUGACCGAGCGACGCUGCGUGUAGGAAGAAGGCCUUCGGGUUGUAAACUACUGUCGUGUGGGAAGAACUUUGACGGUACCACACAAGAAAGGGGCACCUAACUCUGUGCCAGCAGGUGCGGUAAUACAGAGGCCCCGAGCGUUAUCCGGAAUUACUGGGCGUAAAGCGUCCGCAGGCGGAACAAUGCGUCUGCUGUAAAAUCCUCGGGCUCAACCCGACGGGCUGCAGUGGAUACGAUUGUUCUAGAGGCAGGGAGAGGUAAGCGGAACUCCUGGUGAAGCAGUGAAAUGCGUUGAUAUCAGGGGGAACACCAAUUGCGAAGGCAGCUUACUGGUCCUGUCCUGACGCUCAUGGACGACAGCGUGGGUAGCGAAGCGGAUUAGAUACCCCAGUAG
rnacentral:rRNA from 1 species